GACGAACGCUGGCGGCGUGCUUAACACAUGCAAGUCAAGGGGAAUGGGAAUCUUCGGAAUCCCUAGUAAACUGGCGAAUGGGUGAGUAACGCGUAGGCAACCUGCCCCGCAGUGGGGAAUAAACCGCCGAAAGGCGGACUAAUACCGCAUGACAUUCAGAUGACUCAUGUCAAUUGAAUUAAAGGGGACCCCGACUUGUCGAGGAACCGCUGUGGGAUGGGCCUGCGUCCUAUUAGUUUGUUGGUAGGGUAACGGCCUACCAAGACGACAAUGGGUAGCUGGUCUGAGAGGACGAUCAGCCACACUGGCACGUGAGACACGGGCCAGACUCCUACGGGAGGCAGCAGUGAGGAAUAUUGGGCAAUGGGCGAAAGCCUGACCCAGCAACGCCGCGUGGGCGAUGAAGCUCUGAGGAAGUGUAAAGCCCUGUUAGGAGGGAAGAACAAUCCCGAUUUAUCGGGACAUGACGGUACCUCCAGAGAAAGCUCCGCUAACU
rnacentral:rRNA from 1 species